GGCGGCCGCGCUACGUACCGGGCCUUGCUGGUAGAUGUGGCCGGGGCCGCCGGCUAUAAAGCACCAAGCCCGCCGCGCCGAGCCUUGGUUCCCAACUUCCCAUUCCGCUUCAUCCAUCGAACCUGGUGCGUGAGAUCGCGGAGGAGGAGACGACGCAAGUCUCCGUGAAGACGCUGACGGGGGAGACCGCCAUCCUCGAGGUCGAGAGCGGCGACACCUUCGCCACCGUCAAGGCGAAAAUCCAGGACAAGGUAUCGCCGCGGACCAGCAGCGGCUCAUCUUCGCGGGGACGCAGCUGGCGGACGGCUGCAGAAUGGGUGCUCCUCGUCUAAAAGGGGAGACGGUGAGAGGUGCUAUGCUCGCCUGCCGCUUGGCGCCAAGAACUGCCGCAAGAAGAAAUGUGGCCACAGCAACCAGCUGAGGCUGAAGAAUUCCAGGGACCCGCACAGGUCCCGUUGGAGUUAGUAUCGUCUUCUCUAGUUUUGCCGUGGCGUAAAGUUGCUCCUGGAUACUGAACAUGGAGUCAUGGACUACGCUUCUGAAUGCUUGGGUUAUGUUGAUACUUGAUAGCAUGGUUAAGAAAUGCUACUUAACAUGGUAGUUGAACUUAUUCUUGGCUGAAUGAACACUCCCGGCUCUG